rnacentral:rRNA from 1 species
CGCGUCACAUGUGAACUGCAGGAUACAUGAACAUUGACAUUUCGAACGCACAUUGCGGUCCUCGGAUACUGUUCCCGGACCACUCCUGGCUGAGGGUCGUAUGUUAUUACCAGACUGCUACUUGCCCUCGGGCUCGUUAGCGAAUGAUGGGAUUUCGCGUAACUGCGUGUCCUUAAAUUAUCACUCAACGCUUGUGAGCCAGUCCAGUCUGCAACGACGUAUACACGUUCUGUGAGCGGUGUGCGAGACUACGGCGGGUUGUGUGUCUUAGAUUAAUUUCUUCGAUCCGACUCGAUUCCCGAAAUCCGCAUCCAGGCAGUCGCGUUUCGUCAGCAAACAACGGGCGAUCGAAAGGUUCCUCGCUAAAAUGCGUCGCACGGUAUUCGUAUCGUGUGCGCGAUUCAAAACACGACCUCAGAGCAGGUGAGACUACCCCCUAAAUUUAAGCAUA